GUGGACGUUAUAAUUGAUGGUAACAUUUACUGAUCAUAUAAUCAGCAUGACAAUAUAACAGUAGAACAUUCUGACCACCUGACUAAUACUGUGUUGGUCCCUUUAUGCUGCUAAAACUCCUCUGACCCAGUGGUUCAUCAGAACCUCUGGGGAUGUCCUGUGGAUUCUGUGGAUCCUGUGGGUUGCAGGGUGGAUCCUACCUAGACCAGGCUGAUCCUGGACCAUCCCACAGAUGCUCAAUCAGAUCUGGAUGUGGGGAGUGUGGAACCCAGAUGUUCAGAGGGAGAUGAUGCCACAUCUGGUCCAGCAGAUGGAAGGUCUUGAAGUUCUCUGACUGGCCUCGACUGAAGAUGGUCGUCUCACUGGAUUUAAGGUUCAGAUGCUCAGUAACAAACUCCACCAAUGAGCCAACAGGGAAGCUUUAGGUUUAUUAAAUGUUGCUAUGAAGGUUUCGCUGUUUUUCUUUGUGAAUGCAAUGUGCUCCAACUGAAACUUGGAUUAGAACUUAGAAGUAAAUCCUUCCAUCUGAAAGGAUUUAGUUGCAUUAAUAACCUCAUAACAUUCUAAUUUUUAUUCCAGUCUUGGCUGGAAAUAGAAUCUCUGUAUUGAUUCAGGUAAAAACUGAACUUCACAGCAUGUUGAAGCAAAACAACCAGAUGAAAACUGUGAUGGUGUUGGAUUGUCAGACCGUAAUGUUGCAGCUCAAAGCAGCUUUUCUAUCUCAGUUCAUUCUGACAUUCAGCUAUGAAUCAACACAGCAGAUGGUGAUCCAUGCUGUGGAAGUCUCACAUCUCCUGAUUUAAUGGAGCUGCUUUGCACUUUUUACACUGUUUAUUCACCAACACUUUAUUUAAUAAAAGUCCCACCUAGUUUUUAUGAGGAAUGUGAUGUUUUAAUUUCUCUGUGAAUAACUGCAGUCUAAUGCAACAGCUGGAGUUGUAACAUCUGUCCUGAUGUUGAUCAUGAAGUAUUGAUCAGAAUACUUAUGGUCAGCAGUCAUCCCUGAAGUUUUACAUUAAAAUCUUUACUUUGGUAAGAAGCAGAAACGUUAGCGUUGCCAUGGAUAUAUGAGUGUUAAAUUCUGUCCAUGUUUCCAUUUUGGGAAAUUCAGUCCAGUUCCAGAAUGUGGAGGAAUUUAGUCUCAAUCACAGACAAUAAAUAUUGUCUGAAAGUCGGGUUAUUGUUGUUUAUCAGCACAAUACAAAAAGAUUAAUGUUAGAAAUAUUCCAGUUCAGACUCUAGAAUAUCAUGGUUUAUGUAAAUGUACCUCAAUAAUAUGAAUGUUCAGGUUAAGAUUGUACAGUGAUAUUUAUUAUGUAAGUUUAGCUGAUUAAAGUUUAUGACUCUGCACUACAAUAUUAUUAUUUAAAUUUACACCAUUAUUAUAAUAUUUAGGGUCAGACCCUACAGUAUUGAAAUUAAGAAAUCAAAUAUUCUAUAAAAUGUAAAUACGCUGAACUCAUUUGGAUAUAUUUAAAUGAGACUCUACAAUAUUAUUUGACACGAAUCUAUCUAAAUCAAAAUUUUUAUAAUUUUCACGCCAAGCAUUUACUGGACUGAUUUAAACAUUAAAAUCACUCCUUUCUAAUCUUCUGCUGUACGUUCAAACCUGAGGCCUUAAAUAGAAACACACAAGUAUCUGUUUGAAGGAAUUUCUGUAGAGUCCUGGUUCCAGAACAUGAUGAUAGAAUUAUAGACAAACUUUAACAAAAGCUGCCUGAGAGUUUACAGGUUUUUAUGCUGGAUUUCUUCAGUAAUUUAAUGAGCGUUAUCAGCAAUAAUCAAGUGUUCAUUUGAUGACCUUCAUUUCCUAAAACAUCCAGAAUUGGAGCUCAUAUCUUUGGCAGCUGUAAAGUUUCUGCUCCUUCAAAGUUCACAACACAAUGAAUGAAUUCCUAAAACACUCUCAAUGCUGGAGAGCGUUUGAUGCUGAAGCAGUGACCAGUUUUUCUGUUUCUUCUCUGGAGAUGCACAACGAGGGACGUCUGCAGAGACUGAGAAAGAGUCUCACCACAUCCUGACAUGAGGAAAAAGACCUUAUUGAAGACUACAAUGAGAAAAACUAUCAGACAGCAGACGGCAUGCAUUCAAGUCUGUAGCUGCUGAAUUCAUGGAUGAAUCAUCUGGCACUAGAGAAGAAGACCAUCAAACAUCCACGUCAGCUGAUGGAGGUCCAAGAGUCUCACCAAACAACCAACCUACAGAGUGAAGACCUCAAAUCUGAUUGGACGGCCUCCUAUUCAGCCACAUGUGUGAACAAAUGCCUCCAAGUUGAUUUGUUUUCUAAAAUAAAUCUACUUUGAGUCCUAA
ensembl:lncRNA